AGUAACGCGUGAGGAACCUGCCUCAAAGAGGGGGACAACAGUUGGAAACGACUGCUAAUACCGCAUAAGCCCACGGCUCGGCAUCGAGCAGAGGGAAAAGGAGCGAUCCGCUUUGAGAUGGCCUCGCGUCCGAUUAGCUAGUUGGUGAGGUAACGGCCCACCAAGGCGACGAUCGGUAGCCGGACUGAGAGGUCGAACGGCCACAUUGGGACUGAGACACGGCCCAG
rnacentral:rRNA from 1 species